rnacentral:piRNA from 1 species
UGNGCCUCAUUUCAAGUGACCUUAGCCACA